rnacentral:rRNA from 1 species
AUAAUGGGUCAGCGACUUAUAUUCUGUAGCAAGGUUAACCGAAUAGGGGAGCCGAAGGGAAACCGAGUCUUAACUGGGCGUUAAGUUGCAGGGUAUAGACCCGAAACCCGGUGAUCUAGCCAUGGGCAGGUUGAAGGUUGGGUAACACUAACUGGAGGACCGAACCGACUAAUGUUGAAAAAUUAGCGGAUGACUUGUGGCUGGGGGUGAAAGGCCAAUCAAACCGGGAGAUAGCUGGUUCUCCCCGAAAGCUAUUUAGGUAGCGCCUCGUGAAUUCAUCUCCGGGGGUAGAGCACUGUUUCGGCAAGGGGGUCAUCCCGACUUACCAACCCGAUGCAAACUGCGAAUACCGGAGAAUGUUAUCACGGGAGACACACGGCGGGUGCUAACGUCCGUCGUGAAGAGGGAAACAACCCAGACCGCCAGCUAAGGUCCCAAAGUCAUGGUUAAGUGGGAAACGAUGUGGGAAGGCCCAGACAGCCAGGAUGUUGGCUUAGAAGCAGCCAUCAUUUAAAGAAAGCGUAAUAGCUCACUGGUCGAGUCGGCCUGCGCGGAAGAUGUAACGGGGCUAAACCAUGCACCGAAGCUGCGGCAGCGACGCUGAUGCGUUGUUGGGUAGGGGAGCGUUCUGUAAGCCUGCGAAGGUGUGCUGUGAGGCAUGCUGGAGGUAUCAGAAGUGCGAAUGCUGACAUAAGUAACGAUAAAGCGGGUGAAAAGCCCGCUCGCCGGAAGACCAAGGGUUCCUGUCCAACGUUAAUCGGGGCAGGGUGAGUCGACCCCUAAGGCGAGGCCGAAAGGCGUAGUCGAUGGGAAACAGGUUAAUAUUCCUGUACUUGGUGUUACUGCGAAGGGGGGACGGAGAAGGCUAUGUUGGCCGGGCGACGGUUGUCCCGGUUUAAGCGUGUAGGCUGGUUUUCCAGGCAAAUCCGGAAAAUCAAGGCUGAGGCGUGAUGACGAGGCACUACGGUGCUGAAGCAACAAAUGCCCUGCUUCCAGGAAAAGCCUCUAAGCAUCAGGUAACAUCAAAUCGUACCCCAAACCGACACAGGUGGUCAGGUAGAGAAUACCAAGGCGCUUGAGAGAACUCGGGUGAAGGAACUAGGCAAAAUGGUGCCGUAACUUCGGGAGAAGGCACGCUGAUAUGUAGGUGAAGUCCCUCGCGGAUGGAGCUGAAAUCAGUCGAAGAUACCAGCUGGCUGCAACUGUUUAUUAAAAACACAGCACUGUGCAAACACGAAAGUGGACGUAUACGGUGUGACGCCUGCCCGGUGCCGGAAGGUUAAUUGAUGGGGUUAGCGCAAGCGAAGCUCUUGAUCGAAGCCCCGGUAAACGGCGGCCGUAACUAUAACGGUCCUAAGGUAGCGAAAUUCCUUGUCGGGUAAGUUCCGACCUGCACGAAUGGCGUAAUGAUGGCCAGGCUGUCUCCACCCGAGACUCAGUGAAAUUGAACUCGCUGUGAAGAUGCAGUGUACCCGCGGCAAGACGGAAAGACCCCGUGAACCUUUACUAUAGCUUGACACUGAACAUUGAGCCUUGAUGUGUAGGAUAGGUGGGAGGCUUUGAAGUGUGGACGCCAGUCUGCAUGGAGCCGACCUUGAAAUACCACCCUUUAAUGUUUGAUGUUCUAACGUGGACCCGUAAUCCGGGUUGCGGACAGUGUCUGGUGGGUAGUUUGACUGGGGCGGUCUCCUCCUAAAGAGUAACGGAGGAGCACGAAGGUUGGCUAAUCCUGGUCGGACAUCAGGAGGUUAGUGCAAUGGCAUAAGCCAGCUUGACUGCGAGCGUGACGGCGCGAGCAGGUGCGAAAGCAGGUCAUAGUGAUCCGGUGGUUCUGAAUGGAAGGGCCAUCGCUCAACGGAUAAAAGGUACUCCGGGGAUAACAGGCUGAUACCGCCCAAGAGUUCAUAUCGACGGCGGUGUUUGGCACCUCGAUGUCGGCUCAUCACAUCCUGGGGCUGAAGUAGGUCCCAAGGGUAUGGCUGUUCGCCAUUUAAAGUGGUACGCGAGCUGGGUUUAGAACGUCGUGAGACAGUUCGGUCCCUA